rnacentral:tRNA from 1 species
UAGGAAGUGGUGUAGUGGAAGCAUAAAGAGUUUUGAUCUCUUUGGGAAAGGUUCGAAUCCUUUCUUUCUAG